GACGAACGCUGGCGGCGUGCCUAAUACAUGCCAGUAGAACGCUGAAGCGAGGAGCUUACUCUUCUUGGAUGAGUUGCGAACGGGUGAGUAACGCGUAGGUAACCUGCCUUGUAGCGGGGGAUAACUAUUGGAAACGAUAGCUAAUACCGCAUAACAAUGGAUGACACAUGUCAUUUAUUUGAAAGGGGCAAUUGCUCCACUACAAGAUGGACCUGCGUUGUAUUAGCUAGUAGGUGAGGUAAUGGCUCACCUAGGCGACGAUACAUAGCCGACCUGAGAGGGUGAUCGGCCACACUGGGACUGAGACACAGCCCAGACUCCUACGGGAGGCAGCAGUAGGGAAUCUUCGGCAAUGGGGGCAACCCUGACCGAGCAACGCCGCGUGAGUGAAGAAGGUUUUCGGAUCGUAAAGCUCUGUUGUAAGUCAAGAACGGGUGUGAGAGUGGAAAGUUCACACUGUGACGGUAGCUUACCAGAAAGGGACGGCUAACUACGUG
rnacentral:rRNA from 1 species